GCUCCCACAGCUGCCAGGGUAUUAAGGAUUUUCUGCUGCCACUGUCCAGCAAGCAGAGAGUGGGCUUUACAGAAGAUCCAGAGUUUUGGGGGAACUGUGACAACUACGGUGCUGUCUAAUAUUACAGGAUUGUUGGAUCACUGUAAGAGAGAACAGGUCUGAUCCUGUAAUACCUUCAAAUUGACACCUCCUCUGAAAUCAACUGGAAUUUAGUACAGAAGAGAAAGAGAAAUAUAAGGAUAAAGUGCAUGGAGGCAGCAAGACAAGUGUUAAAUUACAAUAAUCAGGGCCCUAGUAAGGAUGUGAUGCUGAGAGAUACCAAAUCUAAGAUGUCUCAGGGUUUCUUCUUUAACUAUGGGAAUGAAGCCCUAUGGCAUCCCAAGCAUAAACAUGGAGACCAAGUCUUCUUAAAACUGCAUGAGGAAAAAUAUUGAUACCAUCGGUUGUCAAUGGAUGUAGUUCCAUCUGAAGUCCUUUCAUGGCCGAGAUGAAUUCAAGUACUCUGUACAGAAGAGACAAGUGGCAUCUUCAGCUGUUGAUAAAUCCUAGUAAUAAAAAUACUCACAGCAGCUUUGGUGAAGGAACACGAUCUUGUUGAAAAGAGUCUUAAACCUGUUGAAUACAAGUCUAUAUCUUUGGGGUCUGACAACAUGGCCCUGUACAGUGAAGAACUAAUGAGUUGCAUAGUUUGGUGUCUGUGUGUCCACACGAAUAGAUGUACAUACAGGAUGCAAGCGACAACCCCUCAUCUAAAUGCUCCUUUGUGCAGCUGCUGUGUACCACAAAAUCCCUCUAUUCGCUCCUCUGUAUCAAACAGAUCAUUGAAGUGUUUGCCCCCUAUUUAUUUAUUUUUCCCCAACACAAAACAUUGUAAGUGAAGCUCUCUUGAUCCCUACUAUGUAAUAUAGGUUUUGGAGCCUACUUGCUUCACAGCUGUCUUGAUAAAGCAAUGCAAUCCACUUAUAAUAAAAGCAACAGCUUUAAAUGAAAAAAAAAGGCAAGAAGUUAAUUGAAAAACUUAUUAACUCAGUGCUUCAAUUUCAUAUUCGUUGGCACUUGUCAUGUUUGUAUAAUCAGAUUAUCUCUUGGGCCCUCCAGCAUUUUCACAUUAUGAAUUUUAUUGGUAGCUUGAGGUUCAGAAUGGAGUUUUUAACUUGAGUGCUUGACUUUGCAACUUUCUGAUCCUUAACACUGUAUUGCCUAAUAUUGUAUGGUUUUGUUUAUUGAUGAAGUAACCUUAACUAACAUUAAAUUAUUAUUAUUUUUAUUUAUUUGUUCGUUUUUUGUGAAUGUAUUUGUAAGAGAAUUGCACAUUUGUGAGGAGAGAAGUAAACUUUUCUAACAGGAGUGGGUUUUUUGGAGGGGAGGGAUGGUUCUGUUUAGUUUUUUAAUGGCAAGUCUUUGAAGCUCCUCCAUUGGUUUAGUAUGUUAUAGGUAGCCAAAGAUGCAUUAUAAAUACAAUUUGUCAUAUGUCUCUGAUAAAUAUUGUCUCAAAAUAUGUGGCCUGUAACAUAAAUACAUGAUGGUGUAUUGUGAUAUGAAGGUUUUUUGGUAUGAAAUGGGGAUUGCAACAUUACUCAUGCAUAGUUAGGUUAUC